GGGGAGAGGGAGAGGGGACAGAGCUGCCCCGUCCUGCUGGUGCACGUGGAGCAGGAGCUGCUCCUGUACGAGGCCUUUUCCCACGACUCCCAGCUGGGCCAGUCCAACCUCAAGGUCCGAUUCCGGAAGGUCCCCCAUGGAAUCAACUUCCGCGAGAAGAAACCGAAACCGUCCCGGAAAAAGCCGGAAGGGCCGGGGGGGGG